UUUAAUUGUAACCAUAAAUUUUAUGUCCAAUUUUGACCGUUUAUCCAUUUUAAAAAAAUAUAAUUAAUAUUUUUAUUUUUAUGAGAUAAUAAAACAUAAAUAUUAAUUUAUACGUGACUGAUGUUUUUAAACUUUUUUUUAAAAAAAAUAAAAUAAAUCAAACGAUCAAAGUGUGCACAGAAAAUCAUGGCUACAUUUAAA
rnacentral:pre_miRNA from 1 species